rnacentral:rRNA from 1 species
GAUGAACGCUGGCGGCGUGCCUAAUACAUGCAAGUCGAGCGAACGGACGAGAAGCUUGCUUCUCUGAUGUUAGCGGCGGACGGGUGAGUAACACGUGGAUAACCUACCUAUAAGACUGGGAUAACUUCGGGAAACCGUAGCUAAUACCGGAUAAUAUUUUGAACCGCAUGGUUCAAAAGUGAAAGACGGUCUUGCUGUCACUUAUAGAUGGAUCCGCGCUGCAUUAGCUAGUUGGUAAGGUAACGGCUUACCAAGGCAACGAUGCAUAGCCGACCUGAGAGGGUGAUCGGCCACACUGGAACUGGGACACGGUCCAGCCGCCUACGGGAGGCAGCAGUAGGGAAUCUUCCGCAGAGGGCGAAAGCCUGACGGAGCAACGCCGCGUGAGUGAUGAAGGUCUUCGGAUCGUAAAACUCUGUUAUUAGGGAAGAACAUAUGUGUAAGUAACUGUGCACAUCUUGACGGUACCUAAUCAGAAAGCCACGGCUAACUACGUG